UACGUAGGGUCCGAGCGUUGUCCGGAAUUACUGGGCGUAAAGCGUGCGCAGGCGGCCCGUGAGGUGUCACGUGAAAGCCCCGGGCUCAACCCGGGAGGGUCGUGGCAAACCGGCGGGCUUGAGGCCGGUAGAGGUGGGUGGAACUCCUGGUGGAGUGGUGAAAUGCGUAGAGAUCAGGAAGAACACCCGUGGCGAAGGCGGCCCACUGGGCCGGUACUGACGCUGAGGCACGAAGGCGUGGGGAGCGAACGG
rnacentral:rRNA from 1 species